rnacentral:misc_RNA from 1 species
GAUGAAGAACGCAGCGAAAUGCGAUAAGUAAUGUGAAUUGCUGAAUUCAGUGAAUCAUCGAAUCUUUGAACGCACAUUGCGCCCGCCAGUAUUCUGGCGGGCAUGCCUGUCUGAGCGUCAUUUCAACCCUCAUGCCCCUAGGGCGUGGUGUUGGGGAUCGGCCAAAGCCCGCGAGGGACGGCCGGCCCCUAAAUCUAGUGGCGGACCCGUCGUGGCCUCCUCUGCGAAGUAGUGAUAUUCCGCAUCGGAGAGCGACGAGCCCCUGCCGUUAAACCCCCAACUUUCCAAGGUUGACCUCAGAUCAGGUAGGAAUACCCGCUGAACUUAAGCAUAUCAAUAAGCGGAGGA